rnacentral:ncRNA from 1 species
GAUUGGGGUGAUUGUGGAAUUCUUUUAACUUCCAUUAUUUUUUUUCAAUGAUUAUUGUUUUAUUUGAUCCAUUAGUAAUGAUUAGAAGAUUAAGUUACCUUAGGGAUAACAGCGUAAUUUCUUCGGAGAGUUCAUAUUGAUGAGGAAGUUUGCGACCUCGAUGUUGGAUUAAAAUUAGUGUUAGGUGUAGCAGCUUAAUAACUAGGUCUGUUCGACCUUUAAAGUUUUACAUGAUCUGAGUUCAGACCGGCGUAAGCCAGGUCAGUUUCUAUCCAUAAUUUUAUAAUGUAUU